rnacentral:lncRNA from 1 species
CUUGAAUCUGGGAGUCGGAGGUUGAAGUGAGCCGAGGUUGCGCCAUUGCACUCCAGCCUGGGCGACACAGCAAAACUCUGUCUCAAACAACAACAACAACAACAACAACAAACCAACAAUAAUAUCUAUGCCUUGGCUUUGCUAGACAACACAACAGCGUGUAGAGGUUAGGAACACAGACUUUGGAGCCAGGUUACCCAGGCUCAGGUCCCAGCACCGCGACUCUCAAUCUCAUGACCUUGGGCAAGUUACUUGUUCCCUCUGUGCUUCAGUUUCCUCAUUGGUUCAGUGGGCAAAAUAAGACUAACAUAAAGUUAUUGCAAAGAUGGAAUGAGAUAAUAAAUGUUAAGCUUUUAGAACAGUACUUGGCACAUAGUAAGCACUAGGGAAGUGUUUUUGUUGUUGUGGUUGUGAGAUUUAAAUGAAUGUGUAGAAAAUACCUAGCAUGGUGCAAAUGCUCAGUAAAAUUUUUUUCUGACACUAAAUUCUAUGCUAACUAAAAAAAAAAAAAAAAAAAAAAAAAUUAAGCGGCACCAAAAACCUUGUAAUAAAAGCAACAAUGUCUUGUUUCCCCUCCUUUCCUGCUCUCUGGAGGUAAAAAUUUUU